rnacentral:siRNA from 1 species
UCAAAACAGAUGCUGCAAGGGUU